GAGAGAUUCAGAGAGCAUGUCAGAGGGGAGGAGAACCAAGAUGGCUGCGGACGUGUUCCUGAGUGGCAUUUUCCAGCCACAAGUAGCUAUGAUUUCACAAGGCGGAACAUUUCUAUCUGUGUCUGGAAGUUUAGAUGUUCUUUGUGAAUGGAGCCUCACUCAUCUCUGGCUAUCUAUGCAUGCGUGCCACCCCUGUGUGGGACAAGUACGACUGGAGAGAACAGGCCUGGAACAAGCCUAUUAAGCUAUGCAUCCAGAAAUGGAUGAAUCCAUGGACAAGAUCACAGCCACCAAGACCCAAUUACAUCCCAAAGGUCUGAACUCUGCUGCAUUGAAGACAACAUCUGAGCUUUCCAGGGCGUGUGUGGAGCAGAUCAAAGAAUGUAUGAAGCCAUAGCAAGAAGGUGUUUACCUGCAAGCCAAGGAGUGAGUCCUCAGUUGUGGACUUCCAACCUUCAGAACAAAAAUAAACUUGUUUUGUUAGUCA